AACGAACGCUGGCGGCAUGCCUAACACAUGCAAGUCGAACGAGACCUUCGGGUCUAGUGGCGCACGGGUGCGUAACGCGUGGGAACCUGCCUUUAGGUUCGGAAUAACUCAGAGAAAUUUGAGCUAAUACCGGAUGAUGUCUUCGGACCAAAGAUUUAUCGCCUUUAGAUGGGCCCGCGUUGGAUUAGCUAGUUGGUGGGGUAAAGGCCUACCAAGGCGACGAUCCAUAGCUGGUCUGAGAGGAUGAUCAGCCACACUGGGACUGAGACACGGCCCAGACUCCUACGGGAGGCAGCAGUGGGGAAUAUUGGACAAUGGGCGAAAGCCUGAUCCAGAAUGCCGCGUGAGUGAUGAAGGCCUUAGGGUUGUAAAGCUCUUUUACCCGAGAUGAUAAUGACAGUAUCGGGAGAAUAAGCUCCGGCUAACUCCGUG
rnacentral:rRNA from 1 species